UAAGCGGAGNAAAAGAAACUAACAAGGAUUCCCCUAGUAACUGCGAGUGAAGCGGGAAAAGCUCAAAUUUAAAAUCUGGUGGUCUUUGGCCAUCCGAGUUGUAAUUUAGAGAAGCGUCUUCCGCGCUGGGCCGUGCACAAGUCUCCUGGAAUGGAGCGUCACAGAGGGUGAGAAUCCCGUCUUUGGCAUGGACACACCAGGGCUUUUGUGAUGCGCUCUCGAAGAGCCGAGUUGUUUGGGAAUGCAGCUCAAAAUGGGUGGUGAACUCCAUCUAAAGCUAAAUAUUGGCGAGAGACCGAUAGCGAACAAGUACCGUGAGGGAAAGAUGAAAAGCACUUUGGAAAGAGAGUGAAACAGUACGUGAAAUUGUUGGAAGGGAAACGCUUGAAGUCAGUCGCGUCGACCGAGACUCAGCCUUGCCUUGGCCUGGUGUACUUCUCGGCCGACGGGUCAGCAUCAAUUUUGCCCCUUGGAUAAUGAUGAGGGAAACGUGACACCUUUAUGGUGUGUUAUAGUCUCUUGUCGCAUGCAAGGGUCGGGAUUGAGGAACUCAGCACGCACCUUUGGGUGUCGGGGCUUUGCCCACGAUACGUGCUUAGGAUGUUGGCGUAAUGGCUUUAAACGACC
rnacentral:rRNA from 1 species